rnacentral:rRNA from 1 species
GAUGAACGCUGGCGGCGUGCCUAAUACAUGCAAGUCGAGCGAACAGACGAGGAGCUUGCUCCUCUGACGUUAGCGGCGGACGGGUGAGUAACACGUGGAUAACCUACUUCUAAGUCUGGGAUAACUUCGGGAAACCGGAGCUACUACCGGAUAAUAUAUUGAACCGCAUGGUUCAAUAGUGAAAGACGGUUUUGCUGUCACUUAUAGAUGGAUCCGCGCCGGAUUAGCUAGUUGGUAAGGUAACGGCUUACCAAGGCGACGAUGCGUAGCCGACCUGAGAGGGUGAUCGGCCACACUGGAACUGAGACACGGUCCAGACUCCUACGGGAGGCAGCAGUGGGGAAUCUUCCGCAAAGGGCGAAAGCCUGACGGAGCAACGCCGCGUGAGUGAUGAAGGUCUUCGGAUCGUAAAACUCUGUUAUUAGGGAAGAACAAAUGUGUAAGUAACUAUGCACGUCUUGACGGUACCUAAUCAGAAAGCCACGGCUAACUACGUG